rnacentral:ncRNA from 1 species
AGACAGCGCUAUCGCGCUUCCUCAGCCCGAACAGCAUCGAGGUAACGACUGGAUAAAACAAUCUUAACUCACG